ACUAAUACUUGAGUGAACUGUUUUUGAGCUUUACUAUAAUGGGAUCCUGGGAAUAUAAACCAUGCAAACUCUUUCUUGCACGUGACUUGUGAAGCAAACAUUUGGAUUAGUGAAAGUUAUAAAAAAAUGCAACAUUAAGAGACCUGGUGAGCCUGGAUUCAACCUAGACAGAGAAGUUUAGUCAAAUUACCCUGUUUUUCUGGAGUUGCCACUUACCCAGAAUUUAAUUGGAGUCUCUUACACAAAGGCUUAUCCUGGAGAUUUGGAGUUUAUACCUCCAAACACAUCGAACACAUGCAAGCCUCGAAGUUAUAAUCAUUCCUCUGCAUUAUAUCCAGGAAAAGGGUCUUCCCCCAAAACUCCAAGCAUUGAAAUCCCAUAAGA